CCGUCCCGACUCUCUCUCUCUCUCUCUCUCUCUCUCUCUCUCUCUCUCUUUCUUAGGGGUUUUUAAUCUCUAUCUCUCUUUUAACAUGUCUAAGGAUGAGAUACGAGGAUCUCUGCAAUCCGAUGUAUGAUAUGGACAUCAAGGAAGCCUUAGCCACUUCCAUCUCAAGCAUUCAAUGGAUCUCUCCAUAAAGCACGAAUAUCUCCCCAAAGAUCUACAGAUUUAGGGCCUGCCCAAAUUCAUCCUAAAUCAGGAUUUGUUUAGGGCCUUAAGUGGAAUAAACCUGCUUGGCUUUUGGGGUAGUGGAAGAUGGAAACUGUAUUAAGCUGGAUACCAUUUUUCCUUAAAUCGGUAGAGUUCUCCAUAUUAGUGGGGAGGACCUUACAUCAAUUGAAGAAACUAAGAACCCCAAAUGUGUUGCAAAGCAUCUGGAGUCUGCAAAUACAAUGUUUUCAUUCUUAUGGUGGAUCAUUGGAUUCUAUUAGGUAUCCCCUGGUGGCCAAACUUUGACCCGUGAUGCACCUCAACUUUACUGUGGCAGACCAGGUAUGGCUUUUGUGAUAUGGUGUCUGCUUUUUGGAAAUUAUCUUAAUAUGCUUGAAAUUUCACAUUUUAUAGAAAUGGCAUUUAUCUAGACUACAAAACUAAUUCCAUAGCCACUAACCAAGUGUGUGUCAUAAUGGACCGAAUCAAAUAGAAAUGAUACACAAAAGCUUACAACUUAUGAGGAUUUUUUCUUUCUUUUUUAAUUCGAUUUGAUGUUGAUUUCAUCAAAUCUGAUGGUUUACUUCUGAAAGUCUUUGUUGUCGGGUUCUCCCUAUCCCUCUCUCAAUCGACCAUCUCUCUUUGUUUCCCCUUUCUCAAUCCACCUCUGCUCCUCUAGGGUUUGUCUCUCUCUCUCUCUCUCUCUCUCUCUCUCUCUCUAUCUAUCUAUCUAUCUAUCUUUUAUAGACCAGAUCUGGGUUCAUUUUUCCUUCCCAAUCUUUCCAGAAAAGAUUUGCAUUUUUCUCUCAAGCUACAACAGAUUUUUUAUGCAGAUCUGGGGUUUUCUCUCGAG